GCUCCCUUCGUCUAGUGGCCUAGGACACCGGCCUCUCACGCCGGCGACAGGGGUUCGAGUCCCCUAGGGAGCGCCA
rnacentral:tRNA from 2 species